rnacentral:rRNA from 1 species
UACAGAGGUCUCAAGCGUUGUUCGGAUUCAUUGGGCGUAAAGGGUGCGUAGGCGGCGCGGUAAGUCGGGUGUGAAAUCUCGGGGCUUAACUCCGAAACUGCAUUCGAUACUGCCGUGCUUGAGGACUGGAGAGGAGACUGGAAUUUACGGUGUAGCGGUGAAAUGCGUAGAUAUCGUAAGGAAGACCAGUGGCGAAGGCGGCGUACUGGGUCUUUUCUGACGCUGAGGCACGAAAGCCAGGGUAGCGAACGGG